UACGUAGGGUGCAAGCGUUGUCCGGAAUUAUUGGGCGUAAAGAGCUUGUAGGCGGUUUUUCGCGUCUGCUGUGAAAUUUCGGGGCUCAACCCCGAACUUGCAGUGGGUACGGGCAGACUAGAGUGUGGGAGGGGAGACUGGAAUUCCUGGUGUAGCGGUGAAAUGCGCAGAUAUCAGGAGGAACACCGAUGGCGAAGGCAGGUCUCUGGGCCGCUACUGACGCUGAGAAGCGAAAGCAUGGGGAGCGAACAGG
rnacentral:rRNA from 1 species